AUGUUUCUUGAUGUGAAUACUAGUGAUGAUGUCCUGUCAUUAGACACUAGCUCUAGUUCUGCCUCUGCUACCAUGUCACAUGUUCAUAAACUGGCAGGUGAUAAGAAGAAAGGACUAAAGUUGAAGGCAAGUUCAAAUACACUAGGCACUAUUGCAUGUGCUACACCGCAGAAGGAAGAAAACAUGGGUGCUUCUGAUUAUUGCAUGCUGACCAAGUUGAUGGAGGCCCCCAUUACUUUUAAUGGAGAAAUUGCAAUUCAACUUGUAGUUCCGCAGGAAGUGAAGCCGGCGUUUAGAACGCCAUGCAGAUGGAUCAUGGUUGGUUCACUGCCAAUUCCUGUUACGUAA
rnacentral:rRNA from 1 species